ensembl:misc_RNA predicted gene, 27905
AAUAGUCAAACAAAUUAGUAAUGGGGCCACCAAGAGAGAACAUUCAACCCUAAUUCAGAGAUGUCUCAGUUUAUCAGUUUUCUGUCAAUCAUUAAAACAAGAAAAAUGAAACAUGUAAUUAGAUACAAGGAGACAGAACUCCUAAUUCUUUCAUCCUAGCUGAAGCAGAAGAGUUUUAAUUGCUUGGAAAAUUUAGAUUUUUGUUUU